rnacentral:rRNA from 1 species
UACGUAGGGGGCUAGCGUUGUCCGGAUUUAUUGGGCGUAAAGAGCGUGUAGGCGGCCAGGUAGGUCCGUUGUGAAAACUCGAGGCUCAACCUCGAAGACGUCGGCGGAAACCCUCUGGCUAGAGUCCGGAAGAGGAGAGUGGAAUUCCUGGUGUAGCGGUGAAAUGCGCAGAUAUCAGGAAGAACACCCGUGGCGAAGGCGGCUCUCUGGGACGGUACUGACGCUGAGACGCGAAAGCGUGGGGAGCGAACAGG